rnacentral:rRNA from 1 species
GUGAGGAAUAUUGGGCAAUGCCCGCAAGGGUGACCCAGCAACGCCGCGUGGAGGAUGAAUGUCGUAAGAUUGUAAACUCCUGUUAGAGGGGAAGAAUAGUACCGGUUGGACCGGUAUAUGACUGUACCCUCAGAGAAGGCCCCGGCUAACUACGUGCCAGCAGCCGCGGUAAUACGUAGGGGGCAAGCGUUGUCCGGAUUUACUGGGUGUAAAGGGCGCGCAGGCGGGAUAAAAAGUCAGUGGUGAAAUCCUACAGCUUAACUGUAGAACUGCCUUUGAUACUUUUAUUCUUGAGUUCGGGAGAGAGAGACGGAAUUCCAGGUGUAGUGGUGAAAUACGUAGAUAUCUGGAAGAACACCAGUUGCGAAGGCGGUCUCUUGGUCCGACACUGACGCUGAGGCGCGAAAGCGUGGGGAGCAAACA